rnacentral:tRNA from 1 species
UGAAGAUUAGUUUAACUAAAACCUGAAGUUUCGACCUUCAAAUUCUUAGCUCAAAACCUAAGAUCUUCCA